rnacentral:lncRNA from 1 species
GACUCGCCCCGUGCCCGCCCCGCGCGCGGCCCAAUCCCGUGGCUCCCGGCCCGGGGGCUGCGCGCCGAUGAUGUCAGCUGCGGCCAAUCGCGAGCGGCGACACACAGCGGCCCCGCCUGGCGUGACCGAGACUCUCCAUCACGGCCCGCACCAUUGGUUCAAUUCGAACUCUGCUCGUUCUGAUUGGAGAGUGGCCUCGCAGGCUAUUUUUAGCAGGGUAUAUAAGGCGCGGUCGGCCGCGCGCCGGAGGAGUCCGCGCUGUGAGGUGCGCGGCCGAGUGCUGUGCUGCGCCCGCGGCCGGGGCUGAGGGAUCCGGGGCUGGGAGAGCCCGGGCGGGCCGCGUUGCUCGUCCCCAGUCCCAGUCCCCCUUCCCUGCUGCCCGGUCCCGCCACCCCGCGCCCGUCCCGGUCACCAAGCCGGGCCCCGUCGCCGCGCGAGCCCCGUUCCGGCAGCACACCCAGCGUGCGGCCGCCCGGUCCUGCUUCUCUAGGCCGUCAGGUGCUUCCUCCUCCUGCUCCUCGCUGAAGAUCCUUGCGCUCUUUUCACUCGCGCAGUCAUGGAGAGAACACAGUCAACUCCAUUUCUUGGGCGUGACCCUCGUUCUCUGCUCACCUUGAGCCGCUCCAGUCUCUGCCACUGUCUUCAAAAGGUGACAUCAGUUUGCAUUCACAUCAACUGCAUUUUGAAGUGGACACAGAGCGUUGAUUUUACAAAUCUGCCGGCAUUUGAG